rnacentral:lncRNA from 1 species
AAACUAUAAAAUAAAAUAAAAAAUUACCCAGAAAAAUCGGAACCGAGCCCUCCCCUUUCUCUUGUUUGGUUUUGAAAUGGUUUUGUUAAUCAAAAUUAUCAUUAAAGUCAAAAUUGGUCAUAAUACUUCUCUCCCCCACUUACAAACUCUUCCCAUUAAUUCAAAGUUGUUUUUUUUAGAAUUUUAAAACAAAUAGCAGUAAAAAAAUCUUUCCCUCGUCAAAAAUCAAAACAAACUUUC